AUGGCGAACGACUGAUGCAGCGACGCCGCGUGAGCAGAGAAGUAUUUCGAUGUGUAAAGCUCUAUCAGCAGGGAAGAUAAUGACGGUACCUGACUGAAGAGCACCGGCUAAAUACUGGCCAGCAGCCGCGGUAAUACGUAUGUGGCAAGCGUUAUCCGGAUUUACUGGGUGUAAAGGGAGCGUAGGCGGUUUUACAAGUCUGAUGUGAAAGCCCGGGGCUCAACUCCGGUAUCUGAUUGGAAACUGUAGAACUAGAGUGUCGGAGGGGUAAGUGGAAUUCCUAGU
rnacentral:rRNA from 1 species